GUGAACGCUGGCGGUAGGCCUAACACAUGCAAGUCGAACGGCAGCACAGUAAGAGCUUGCUCUUACGGGUGGCGAGUGGCGGACGGGUGAGGAAUACAUCGGAAUCUACUUUUUCGUGGGGGAUAACGUAGGGAAACUUACGCUAAUACCGCAUACGACCUACGGGUGAAAGCAGGGGAUCUUCGGACCUUGCGCGAUUGAAUGAGCCGAUGUCGGAUUAGCUAGUUGGCGGGGUAAAGGCCCACCAAGGCGACGAUCCGUAGCUGGUCUGAGAGGAUGAUCAGCCACACUGGAACUGAGACACGGUCCAGACUCCUACGGGAGGCAGCAGUGGGGAAUAUUGGACAAUGGGCGCAAGCCUGAUCCAGCCAUACUGCGUGGGUGAAGAAGGCCUUCGGGUUGUAAAGCCCUUUUGUUGGGAAAGAAAAGCAGCAGGUUAAUACCCCGCUGUUCUGACGGUACCCAAAGAAUAAGCACCGGCUAACUUCGUG
rnacentral:rRNA from 1 species